GUCUGUUGGAAAAUUACUGCUCACAUACAGUGACUGUGGGCCUGAGGCAGUGCAGUAGCAGUAUAAAAGCAGGUCCUUAUCCUCACUUUCUCAUUCACUUCUCUUGCCUCCUUCUCAUCAGGAACGAGGUGCAGCUCCAGCCACAAGACAUGUCCUGCUACAACCAGUGCCUGCCCUUCCAGUCUUGCGGCCCAACCCCGCUGGCCAACAGCUGCAAUGAGCCCUGUGUCCAGCAGUGCCAGGACUCCCAUGUUUACAUCCAGCCCUCCCCUGUGGUGGUGACCCUGCCCGGCCCCAUCCUCAGCUCCUUCCCGCAGAACACCGCCGUGGGAUCCUCCACCUCCGCUGCCGUUGGCAGCAUCCUCAGCUCUCAGGGAGUGCCCAUCAACUCCGGGGGCUUUGGUCUCUCUGGCUUGGGCAGCGGCAUCUGCGGCACGAGGAGGCGUUUCCCCUGCUAAAGCUGCUGGUGAUGGCCCUGGGGAAGUCCCCCGGGGACCCACAAGAUGAUACCAAACUGGGGAUGGAGUAUUGGGUUGUUGUUUUCAGAGGGGCUGAACAGCCCCAGCACCCUUUUCAAAAGGAUGGGGCCAGCCUGGGCUCUCAGAAAGCAUGACCCAUGUCACCUUCCCCCUCUUCCAGUGUCUCCUGUUCCUCUUGUGUCCUUGUUCUCUUGUGCUUCCCUGGGCUGUGAGGACCUUCUGGCCCUGUUUCCUCUAUGGGGAAGGCAGAUGGACACCUGGCUAUAUCUGCACUACAGCCACAAGGUGCAGACUCUGGUCUGACCCUGGUGCUCUGUGUACUGGGGCCUCUAUUCAGAGCCACCUUGGUUUCUUUUUGACUCAAUAAAGUUCUUUUGCAUCCCA